rnacentral:rRNA from 1 species
UACAGAGGGUGCAAGCGUUAAUCGGAAUUACUGGGCGUAAAGCGUGCGUAGACGGUUACAUAAGUCGGAUGUGAAAGCCCCGGGCUCAACCUGGGAAUUGCAUUCGAGACUGUGUAGCUAGGAUGCGGAAGAGGGAAGUGGAAUUUCCGGUGUAGCGGUGAAAUGCGUAGAUAUCGGAAGGAACAUCAGUGGCGAAAGCGACUUCCUGGACCAGUACCGACGUUCAGGCACGAAAGCGUGGGGAGCAAACAGG